rnacentral:piRNA from 1 species
UAACAGCAAGCCAGUCAUUAGCAUUGAUAGA